rnacentral:rRNA from 1 species
CCUACGGGUGGCAGCAGUGAGGAAUAUUGGUCAAUGGACGAGAGUCUGAACCAGCCAAGCAGCGUGAAGGAUGACUGCCCUAUGGUUUGUAACUUUCUUUUAUAAGGGAGUAAAACGAGGCGCGUGUGCCUUUUUGCAUGAACUUUAUGAAUAAGGAUCGGCUAACUCCGUGCAUGCAGCCGCGGUAAUACUGCGGAUCCGCUCGUUGUCAGGAUUUAUUGGGUUGAAAGGGAGCGUAGAUGGGUUGUUAAGUCAGUUGAUAAAGUUUGGGGCUCAACCGUAAAAUUGCAAUUGAUACUGGCAGGAUUGAGUACAGUUGAGGUAGGCGGAAUUCGUGGUGUAGCGGUGAAAUGCUUAGAUAUCACGAAGAACCCCGAUUGGGAAGGCAGCUUACUAAACUGUGACUGACAUUGAUGCUCGAAAGUGUGGGUAUCAAACAGGAUUAGAUCAGUAGUC